CUGGUAGUUCUUCAUCCAACUCCAAAAGGUUGCGUUCGAAGGAUGAGUCUGAUCCUUCACUUGGUGGCUCUAGGCGUUUGCGAUUUAGUGGUCGUGUGCCCAUGCGGCCUGAACCCAAACCCAGAAAGGGGUGCUCAACAAAAUGCCGUCAUGAUGGAGUAAGGCCCUAUGCAACAGAUGCCAUAAGUGCCUACAACGAAGCAUCAGGCACAAAAUAUGAGCUGGUGGAGCCUGGUUUUCUUACAUCUGUGUUACUUAAGUCAUUUUAUUAUUCACCGCAUCGACUUCACGGCUAAAAAGACUGAUGUUGCUGAUGCUCCAGAGGAGAUGUUUUUUUGCUGAACUAACAACACACGUUGCCAAUCAAUGGGGCCAAAAAACUUAAUAUAGGAGAUGAAAACUAUGGCUGCCGUUAUUGCGUAACAAACAAUGUUCGGCAUCCUAGUGGUGGAGGAUUCAUGACUGGCCGCGCGUGAUGAAUAAAAACUUUAUCUAUGGCUUGUCGACAGUGAACCUUUUGUGAACAUAACUGUGUAUUGAAAUUAACUUGGAGUCUUACUAUGUAUGACGCAAGCAUAGUUGCCUUU